rnacentral:rRNA from 1 species
AGUGAACGCUGGCGGUAGGCCUAACACAUGCAAGUCGAACGGCAGCACAGUAAGAGCUUGCUCUUACGGGUGGCGAGUGGCGGACGGGUGAGGAAUACAUCGGAAUCUACUUUUUCGUGGGGGAUAACGUAGGGAAACUUACGCUAAUACCGCAUACGACCUACGGGUGAAAGCAGGGGAUCUUCGGACCUUGCGCGAUUGAAUGCGCCGAUGUCGGAUUAGCUAGUUGGCGGGGUAAAGGCCCACCAAGGCGACGAUCCGUAGCUGGUCUGAGAGGAUGAUCAGCCACACUGGAACUGAGACACGGUCCAGACUCCUACGGGAGGCAGCAGUGGGGAAUAUUGGACAAUGGGCGCAAGCCUGAUCCAGCCAUACCGCGUGGGUGAGGAAGGCCUUCGGGUUGUAAAGCCCUUUUGUUGGGAAAGAAAAGCAGCAGGUUAAUACCCCGCUGUUCUGACGGUACCCAAAGAAUAAGCACCGGCUAACUUCGUG